rnacentral:rRNA from 1 species
AGCAGAACGACCCGCGAACACGUUUACAAACUCUCGGCUGUGUUUACGGGCCCUCCGGGACCCCUAAACUCGCCUUGUGUCGGGGGCCUCGUCGGCCACUGACUCAAUAAACAAACCCCGGCGCGGUCUGCGCCAAGGAAACAGCAAAGAAUGCAGCUUAGCCCCCGAGGUACCAGAAACGGUGUCAGCCUCGGGGUGCGUCGCUCGUUCGAUAUAAUAUGUCGUAACGACUCUCGGCAACGGAUAUCUAGGCUCUCGCAUCGAUGAAGAACGUAGCGAAAUGCGAUACUUGGUGUGAAUUGCAGAAUCCCGUGAACCAUCGAGUCUUUGAACGCAAGUUGCGCCCGAAGCCGUCAGGCCGAGGGCACGUCUGCCUGGGCGUCACGCACCGUCGCCCCCCCUGCGCAACCCGCUUCGGUGGGUUCGUUACCGGGGGCGGACAAUGGCCUCCCGUGCGCCCGGCGCGCGGUUGGCCCAAAAUCGAGUCCUCGGCUUCGUUCGCCGUGACGAUCGGUGGUUGUCGAGUUAUCGGCGCCCCGUCGCGCGCGAGACCGCAGCAGGCGGACUCAUCUCUUGACCCCAAACGGCGCGACGUCGGAUUCUAUCCGCCGACGCGCCAUCGACGCGACCCCAGGUCAGGCGGGGCUACCCGCUGAGUUUAAGCAUAUCAAUAAGCGAAAAGAA